AGAGUUUGAUCAUGGCUCAGAUUGAACGCUGGCGGCAGGCCUAACACAUGCAAGUCGAGCGGUAGAGAAGUGCUUGCACUUCUUGAGAGCGGCGGACGGGUGAGUAAUGCCUAGGAAUCUGCCUAGUGGUGGGGGAUAACGUUCGGAAACGGACGCUAAUACCGCAUACGUCCUACGGGAGAAAGCGGGGGACCUUCGGGCCUCGCGCCAUUAGAUGAGCCUAGGUCGGAUUAGCUAGUUGGUGAGGUAAAGGCUCACCAAGGCGACGAUCCGUAACUGGUCUGAGAGGAUGAUCAGUCACACUGGAACUGAGACACGGUCCAGACUCCUACGGGAGGCAGCAGUGGGGAAUAUUGGACAAUGGGCGAAAGCCUGAUCCAGCCAUGCCGCGUGUGUGAAGAAGGUCUUCGGAUUGUAAAGCACUUUAAGUUGGGAGGAAGGGCAGUAACUUAAUACGUUGCUGUUUUGACGUUACCGACAGAAUAAGCACCGGCUAACUCUGUGCCAGCAGCCGCGGUAAUACAGAGGGUGCAAGCGUUAAUCGGAAUUACUGGGCGUAAAGCGCGCGUAGGUGGUUUGUUAAGUUGGAUGUGAAAGCCCCGGGCUCAACCUGGGAACUGCAUCCAAAACUGGCAAGCUAGAGUACAGUAGAGGGUGGUGGAAUUUCCUGUGUAGCGGUGAAAUGCGUAGAUAUAGGAAGGAACACCAGUGGCGAAAGCGACCACCUGGACUGAUACUGACACUGAGGUGCGAAAGCGUGGGGAGCAAACAGGAUUAGAUACCCUGCAGUCCACGCCGUAAACGAUGUCAACUAGCCGUUGGGUUCCUUGAGGACUUAGUGGCGCAGCUAACGCAUUAGUUGACCGCCUGGGAGUACGGCCGCAAGGUUAAAACUCAAAUGAAAUUGACGGGGCCCCGCACAAGCGGUGGAGCAUGUGUUUAAUUCGAAGCAACGCGAGAACCCUU
rnacentral:rRNA from 1 species